rnacentral:lncRNA from 1 species
GCACUCUCGGUCCUCCACGAAAACACGUUUUCCACUCUGCUUCAAGCCUCUUCCAGAUGCAGGAGUCUAACAGAGUCCACAUAAACAAGAAACCAAAACAAAACGGCACAAGAUCGAAAGCUUUCCCCUUGUGAUACAACCACUUUAUGUGCAGAGAGGCGCUCACAUGAUGCUGCCAACAUGUGUUUUCUGUCUCAGAUUUCCCUUGAUAACAAAGGACAUAUUUUAGAAGGCGUGGCCCUAGGUGCAUUUGGCCAGCAGGAAUCCGAGUGGAGUUUGGGGAUUUCAUUUGGGUUUAGGCUGAUCCCCUCGGGUGCCCAGUGCUACAGCCCUUGAUGAUGUUAAACCCCAAUUAAUAAAGUUGUUAGGAACACUUUGGGUCAGGUUUGUAAGAUAUGAUCUCAUUCUACUGCUCACAGAACUGAUUUAAUAUUCAGGAAUCAACUAAGCUCAUUCAUUUCCAAAAUUGGCAGCCCUGCAUGUUGCUUCACAGUACUCCCUCUGUCCAAGGCUGGGCAGGGUAUGUUAAAAGGAAAUCUGCAGAAGAGUCUUUCAUGAUGUUCCAAGACUCAGAGAGAAGGAUGGGGGCUGGGAAACAGGCAGGGUGGACAGGUGGGAGGGACAGUAGCUCUGCCUGAGGUAUGAAUGUGAUAGACAGAGAAAGGCAAUGAUAGCUCAGAAAAACUCACGACUCUUAUUGUUAGAAAUCCCACUUCCAAAUCUAUGCAAGUUUUAAGAAGCCAGAAAUAGCUGCAUUAACAUUACCGUAUGGACUUUUUUUAAAAAGUUGCAAAUGACCAUAAAAAAUAUCAGCCAUCUCUUUUGAUGACCUUACCUAAGUGAUUUAUGAUCUUAAAAGCCUCCUCUAAAUACUGCUUUUUAAUCAAGAAAGCUUAUGUUACUCUUCCUACACAAAAUUAACCUCACUUCAGAUUUUGAAGAAAAGGCAGAUCAUAUUUUUAAAUUUCAAUUUUUCAUCUUUUAAAUAG